CACAGAUUGACUCAAAACUGACAUUGAGAACAUGCAUACGGAGACAAUACAUACAUGUAUAUAUGUAAAAGAAUUAUAUUAAAGUUAAUAUACUAAAUAUUCCCCAGUUAAAUCUUAAUCUUGGAGACUUACUAAUAAUUGAAUAAUAUGUGCAUAGUUGUUGAUCCAAUAACAAUGAAAUAAAAGCAUAUACUGCAAGGCCUUAAAUAAAAUAUUGUUUGUUUCCCCAAUCCCGACCGACCCUGCAAAAACAGUGCUACUCAUAAAAUUUUAUUGUCAAAUUUAAGUCAAUAUUAUUUUAUUCAUUUCCGAUUUUCAGGCUUGCAGGAUCGUCCAAUGUUGUUCAAGCUUUUUGGAAAAAAUAAAAUUAUUUCCCUACCUUCCGACCCACACCUGGCUUGGCAGGGUCGGGAUUGGGGAAACAAACAAUAUAUUAAUUUAGGCCCAGUAUUCUAGAUAGAAAAAAAGGACACAUCAUUUUAUAUAGUAACAUUAACACAGUUUCUAGUCUGAUAAGGCAAACUUGAUCAUUUUUACUGAUACAAAUUUGAAAUAGUUCAAUAGAUUUAUCUAUUUUUGUUUGAUUUAUUUAUUAAGAUAUUUUUUAUCAUUAUAAUUUGUAACUCAUUGAAAAUCUUGAAUAACAACUUUAAAUAUAUAUAAAUGUAAUUGUUUGUUGUUAAUAUAAUGAUACAUGUACCAAGAUUGAAAGAAGAAAGUCUGAUGAUUGAGUGGGUUGAUGUAUAAACAGGUUAUUUAUUUAUAAUAAACGUAUUUUUGUAUUCUGUAUUGCUGUAUAGAUUUUUUUCUAAAUAUCAUAUGAACUUUAUAUGAGGAUAAGAAUGAGGUAUUGUACCCCACAAGACGAAUGAUGGUAAUAUUUGUUAAACUAAUGCUAACGAUUUAAAACAUUUUACUCCAUUUGACACUAACAGCAACCUCAAAUGAGAUUAGACAAAUAAUGACAAAAAAAGGUUUGUUUGUUGAUAACGGUAAUGAAAAAUUAAUGCAUGAAGACAAAGUGCAUUUCUAUCCUCUUAUAUUAUAUGUAUUUUUUUUUCUCUAUAUACCAUAUGAAUAAUAUGUCGGUUUUUUUUACAAUGACAGUAUAAUGUGUGUUUUUUUAUUUUCUUAGUACAGAUGUGUUUUUUUUUAUAGAAUUCAUAUUGAAUUAAAAUGUUAUGCUUUAUACAUUAAAUAAUACAUGUAUCUAUAUCUAUAAGUCAGAGAGGCGGCAAUAUAUGAAAGGAAAGUUGAAAAUAUUUAGAUAUAUUUAUACUGCUUUAUUAGUGCGACUGUGUUUCGGUACAAAAUGUUGAAUUGUUGUUGUCACCAUAUGGGAUCCAUAGUAACUAUUUUGUUAAACUGUGAAAAUGACUUGUGCGGUUUAUAAUAGAUUCUUGAGUGGGAUUUGAUUAAUGGUAAUUUUUUUUGAUAAAGGAAAAGGUAUAAUAAAGACACUUUUUCUGCCCCCUUAAGGAAGUUCGCUUGCAAAGUUUCAAAAUAAAUAGCUUUCCAUAACACUAGUAUAUAUUGAUAGGGGAUUAAUUGAGGAAUCAAAAAAGCAAAAAAAUAUAGGGGUUAAUGUGCUAGUUUUCGAGAUAUUAGCCACUGGAGUUUUUUGGGGAAAAUGUUCUCUCUUAAUUUUUCAUAGCUUUAUCAUUGACCAGUUAAAGUUCUGAAAAACUAUUAAAAAAAUGAAUAAGAUUUUAUAAGACUUUUACAAAUGGCUUAUGAAUAUACAUGUAAAAGAUUUAUAAAAAAAAAAAAUGGUGGUCCAUGGACAAUUUUUUUUAAGGCAUUCAAAUUGAUAAAACCAGAAGAUUUGAAAAUCUGACAAAAAUCCCAAAAAGUAUUAUAUAUCCUUUCAAUGGUCAGAUUCAACCUUAGUCUGACAUCAGUUUUGAUAUUUUUUUAGUUUUGUCUUGCAUAUUAGCUUGAGGGCUUUAAAUUUACAUUGAGUGGAAAACACCAAAUACUGACAUAAAGCCUUUUAUCCUGAUUCAGAGUAAUUUCUCGCAAUUUGAUUGGCUGAUAUUGUCCUAAUAAAUUUCAGUACAAUUUUUUAUCACGUCAAUUGGAAUUAUCUCCCUUAUUUAUUACGUCAAUUGGAAUUAUCUCCCUUAUACCAUUGACCUAAUAAAAAAAAUUGAGUUGCUUUAUAGUCCUGAUAUUUUAAAGUUUUUACAGUUU
rnacentral:lncRNA from 1 species